UCUGCAGAGGGGAUGAGGCACAGGAGGAGGGCGGUGCAGCGGAGAAGGAAGUGGGUGAGGAAAGGAAAGAAGACGGGCGAUCUGUAGGGGUUCCAUCUGGAAAGGACUUCAAUAUCCAGCAGAGCUCGGAUUUUCUUCUACCCUGAAGCAGGCAGCCUCCAGAAUUCACCUUGACCGGCAGGCACAAGGUGGGAACCCAGAGCCCACGGCGGGAUGGGCCAGCUGCCUGGGAGGCCACGGAGACCUGAGCUCUCCCUCCACAGCUUCAGGAGCUGGGCGGCCAGAGGUCCUCCCACAGCAGACACAAUUGCACUUAACGGCUCACCAGAGGCCAAAGGCUAUUGCCCAACACAAAACAGCAACCACCGCCCUCCUUACCGACCACGGAGCUGGAAGGUCCAAGCGCUGGAGAGAGAAACCCAGAACGGGGCCACGAUGCUUCCCACACGGCUCACCAUGCUGCCGCUUCCCACGGCCAGCGACCUGCAAACAGGAGGAACAUUAACACGGCAGCCAGAAGGAAAAGAAAAAGAAAAAAGACUG